CCCAGCAACGCCCCUUCCCCGCUUCAGCGCCUCCCUAAUCCUGCCCUGCCCUGGCAACCUUGCUCUGGGCGUGCAGGCCUCCGGGCCUUCACGCUGGCAUUCCAGGGCGGGCGUAUCCGGGUGCAACCGGGGAACGGCUCGGGAGCGGUUUGCGUUCCAAGUCCCGGCCUCUAUCAGGAGGUGGCUUGGACCUAGGCACUUUUUCCAAAUACUAACAGCUACCACCGAUUGAACUCUCACCAGGGGCCUGCUCUAUGCCAAGCCCUGGCUUAGAAAAAUAAAAGAACUGGCCACUGAAUUCGCACAACUCUAUCCCCAAAUGUUGCACCUAUUUUACUGAGCAACCUGAUGCUUAGAUAAGGGAAGCCAUGGCUUCUGAGUCUCGCAUGGAUCAGUAGAUCCAGUUGGAGACCACCUAGCAUGGUGUCUCUGCCCACAGGGAAGAGCUGCUGGAGCAGAGGAGCAGAAAACAGAGACAGCACCUCUAGACAAGCCUGCUUCAGUGUCUCCAGAUUCUCCAAAGGCCCCGAGAUGGAUGGGGAGCUGCUGCCAAAAGAGGGGGGUAGAAAUGGGAGCUCUCACACCUGCCAUUGGAUGGAGCCGCACAAACCCAGCAUGAGCACCUUCCCUGAAGGAGGCCCAAGGCUAAAAAGAACACCCCUGUGGUCCAAGAAGCUGAUGGUGUAGACAGCCUUCUCGUCCUAAGGCUGAGAAUGCCAAGACUCAUAGAGUUGAGCUGAAAAAGUUUUGAAUUUGUCACGAGGCUUUCAAAAGUGGGAGAUUUCACAUUAACAUUUAGAUGUACAGCUUCGGUUGGAAGAAAAAAAAAAGAAAAGAAAA